rnacentral:misc_RNA from 1 species
AAAGAUCCGUGUGCGUUCACUAUUCCUUGUACAGUCGGGUCAUUACAUUUUGCAAAAGCAUUAUGUGAUCUAGGGGCAAACAUAUAUCUCAUGCCCCUCUCAAUUUACAAAAAAGUUGGGUUUAGGUGACCCAAAACCCACUGCAGUGCGGCUACUGAUGGCCAAUCGAACAGUAAGAAGGCCUAUAGGGAUACUCCACGAUGUGCUAGUAAAAGCGGAGUCGUUCAUAUUUCCGGCAGAUUUUGUUAUUCUUGAUUGUGAAGUUGAUUUUGAAGUGCCAGUUAUUCUUGGGAGGCCAUUCCUCGCUACGGGUAGAGCCUUAGUUAAUAUGGAAAAGAGGCAAAUGAAAUUUCAAUUGAACAAUGAAGAAGUGACCUUCAACAUUUU